rnacentral:lncRNA from 1 species
AGUCUCCCUUUCCUAACCCUCACGGAAGUUUCCCACAGCCUGCAGCAGUCCUUCUUGUAGCCAGCCAAUCUCGCCCAGCUCCACUCCACCAGCAGCCCGUCAGGAGGAGCCUGGGCCAUCUCCGGCAGUGACCAGACUGUGUCCUGAGACCUUCAGCCUCCUCCUUCUCCCACUCUCUGUUUCUCCAACUGGCUGUUCCCUGCCUCCCUCCCGGCCCAGCCUCCCAUGGCCCUGUGGACCUGACACGUGGACUCGCCCUCCUGGGCAUGGCCCCGUGCUCACCUCCCGGCUCACCGUCUGCACCUGCCCCUCAGCCUUCGCCAGCCCCCUGCCUCUCAGGGGAGGCACCGCGUCCUGACGCAGCCCCGCUUCCUGCCCGCUCUUCGCCCCAGCAUGGAGCAAGCCCACGGUUGCUUUACCGGAACUUUUCAGCCACCCUGCAAAGACGAAGUGUGUCUGAGGCUGUGGUUUAAAACCGGGUUGGGGGCCCAGAGCAGCUGCGCAGGAAGCGAGGCUGCUUUUCCAUGAGUUCCCUGGCCAGAGCGUGGUUUCACCUCGGCCCCUUCCUCCCAGGCCUCCAGGGCUACAGCGAGGUUCUUGUUUUGCUGGACCUGUGACACCUGAACACCAAGGGCAUCCACACACGACCAGCGAAGUCCCUUCUCCCUCUGAAGCGCGUGGCAUUAGGGCUCAAGGUCUGGCCCUUCCGAACAAGAAGUGACCUCAGAAGACCCCCUAGGUUCUUGCUACUCAAAGUUGGUCAGAAGACUGGCAGGAGGAAUAGCAUCACCUGGGAGCCUGUUAGAAAUGCAGGCUCUCUGGCCCCGCCCCGGACCUCCUGAAGCAGAUGCCUCCUAACCGCAUGCUCAGACGACGACGUGCUUGGGAAGCACUGCUCCCCUCCAGCCUUCUGGUUUACUGCCGAGGAAACAGAGGGUCAGGCACUGCUCUGAGUCACAAAGCAUGUUUGCACAAGAGCUGGAUCCAGAAGCCGGGCUCUGGGGCUCCCAGACAGCUGCCUUUAGCCAGAAGCCUUUGGUUAAGAUGACCUGAGGCAGAAUGCGGAUGAGCUUCCUAAGUAAGGAGGAAAGUUCUGUCUUCUCUCCUGAAAGCCGCCUGGAGGAAAACAAUGCUCCUCCCUGAUGUCGUUCAGCCUGUGGUUUGGGUACAGGUAAGAAGACGGCCCGUCCAAUAGACAGACAUAGACAGUGCCCCCUCUUCCCGGGAAGGUUGGGCAGCAACAUCACAGCAGCUGGACCGUUUUCAAGAUGACUGCUUCCUCUCAGACCUCUUUGUGCCUCAGUUUCCUCACCUGGAAAAGGCACUCUUCCCUGACAAGCAUGUCUUGAGCACCUGCCACGUGCCAGACCUGGUGCCAGGCCCUUGGUAAAGAUUCACAGGUGCUUACAGCCUGGGAGUCAUGCAUGUCACAAGACACAGGAAGGCCACGCACUGUCUGCGAAGGAUUCAAGGAAAAGUCGGGGCAGCGGAGGGACUGCACCCAGAAAAAACGCAGAGAAUCACAAGCCACCACUGUUGGAAACAUCUAUUGGACCCCAUUUGCGAAAGCCGAUCUCUGGAGUCUUAUUAAUUCUCUUUCCGACGAAACCAAACUGCUUAUUCCAUGAACCCCUAUCAGUUGGAGAACGGUAGGCUGAAAGGGGCAUCAGAUUAGAAGUCUCCUGGUCCAUCUUCAUUUCCCAGAAGGGGAACUGAGACCCACAGACGGACAGAGACCUCCCUGGGGACACACAGUGUUAGUGAUAGCAGCAGAAAUCUCCACUCCUUUUCUGAUACACUUUCUAUCUCACAUCCUUCUUCACUCCCUUCCAUGAUGUCACAAUUGAACCAAUAUUGACAAGUGUCCUCCAUCAGCGGGACGAGGGUGAUUGAGACAUGGUCACAGUUAGAUCCCACUCUGGGGAAGCUCACAGAUUAGCACGGGCUCAGCCAAAAGAAGUUCAGCUUAUUUAAAAGCCACGCUAGAAGGAUGAGAGGCGGCCCCCAGUGUGGGGGGCGGGGCUGCAGUGGGCGGGGCCAUUCUAGGGGUUC